GCUGGGUGUGGUGGUGCCUGCCUGUAAUCCCAGUGACUUGGGAGGCUGAGGCAGGAGGAUUGCAAGUUUGAAGACAGCUUCAGCAACUUAGAGAGAUCCUGUCUCAA
rnacentral:sRNA from 1 species